rnacentral:rRNA from 1 species
GACGGAGGAUGCAAGUGUUAUCCGGAAUCACUGGGCGUAAAGCGUCUGUAGGUGGUUCGAAAAGUCCACUGUUAAAAAUUGAGGCUUAACCUCAAAGAUGCCGUGGAAACUUUCAAACUUGAGUAUGGUAGGGGUAGAGGGAAUUUCCAGUGGAGCGGUGAAAUGCGUAGAUAUUGGAAAGACCACCGAUGGCGAAGGCACUCUACUGGGCCAUUACUGACACUGAGAGACGAAAGCUAGGGGAGCAAAUGGG